rnacentral:rRNA from 1 species
CUUAGGCGUGUGACUGCGUACCUUUUGUAUAAUGGGUCAGCGACUUAUAUUCUGUAGCAAGGUUAACCGAAUAGGGGAGCCGAAGGGAAACCGAGUCUUAACUGGGCGUUAAGUUGCAGGGUAUAGACCCGAAACCCGGUGAUCUAGCCAUGGGCAGGUUGAAGGUUGGGUAACACUAACUGGAGGACCGAACCGACUAAUGUUGAAAAAUUAGCGGAUGACUUGUGGCUGGGGGUGAAAGGCCAAUCAAACCGGGAGAUAGCUGGUUCUCCCCGAAAGCUAUUUAGGUAGCGCCUCGUGAAUUCAUCUCCGGGGGUAGAGCACUGUUUCGGCAAGGGGGUCAUCCCGACUUACCAACCCGAUGCAAACUGCGAAUACCGGAGAAUGUUAUCACGGGAGACACACGGCGGGUGCUAACGUCCGUCGUGAAGAGGGAAACAACCCAGACCGCCAGCUAAGGUCCCAAAGUCAUGGUUAAGUGGGAAACGAUGUGGGAAGGCCCAGACAGCCAGGAUGUUGGCUUAGAAGCAGCCAUCAUUUAAAGAAAGCGUAAUAGCUCACUGGUCGAGUCGGCCUGCGCGGAAGAUGUAACGGGGCUAAACCAUGCACCGAAGCUGCGGCAGCGACGCUUAUGCGUUGUUGGGUA